AGCCCCGUCGUCUAGUGGUCAAGGAUAACAGCCUUUGGAGCUGUGGACAGCGGUUCGAAUCCGCUCGGGGCUA
rnacentral:tRNA from 1 species